UAGGGAAUCUUCGGCAAUGGGGGGAACCCUGACCGAGCAACGCCGCGUGAGUGAAGAAGGUUUUCGGAUCGUAAAGCUCUGUUGUUAAGGAAGAACGAGUGUGAGAAUGGAAAGUUCAUGCUGUGACGGUACUUAACCAGAAAGGGACGGCUAACUACGUGCCAGCAGCCGCGGUAAUACGUAGGUCCCGAGCGUUGUCCGGAUUUAUUGGGCGUAAAGCGCGCGUAGGCGGUUUUUUAAGUCUGAAGUUAAAGGCAGUGGCUCAACCAUUGUAGGCUUUGGAAACUGUUUAACUUGAGUGCAGAAGGGGAGAGUGGAAUUCCAUGUGUAGCGGUGAAAUGCGUAGAUAUAUGGAGGAACACCGGUGGCGAAAGCGGCUCUCUGGUCUGUAACUGACGCUGAGGCUCGAAAGCGUGGGGAGCGAACAGG
rnacentral:rRNA from 1 species